rnacentral:rRNA from 1 species
AUUGAACGCUGGCGGCAUGCCUUACACAUGCAAGUCGAACGGCAGCACGGGGCAACCUGGUGGCGAGUGGCGAACGGGUGAGUAAUGCAUCGGAACGUACCUUUCAGUGGGGGAUAACGUAGCGAAAGUUACGCUAAUACCGCAUAUUCUGUGAGCAGGAAAGCAGGGGAUCGCAAGACCUUGCGCUGAUUGAGCGGCCGAUGUCAGAUUAGCUAGUUGGUGAGGUAAAGGCUCACCAAGGGGACUAUCUGUAGCGGGUCUGAGAGGAUGAUCCGCCACACUGGAACUGAUACACGGGCCAGCCUCCUACGGGAGGCAGCAGUGGCGAAUUUUGGACAAUGGGGGCAACCCUGAUCCAGCCAUGCCGCGUGAGUGAAGAAGGCCUUCGUGUUGUAAAGCUCUUUCGGCCGGGAAGAAAUCGCACGGGCUAAUACCCUGUGUGGAUGACGGUACCGGAAUAAGAAGCACCGGCUAACUACGUGCCAGCAGCCGCCGUAAGAC